rnacentral:rRNA from 1 species
AAAGAAUCUAACAAGGAUUCCCCUAGUAACGGCGAGUGAAGAGGGAAGAGCUCAAAUUUUAAAUCUGCCUUGUUCCAAGGUCGAGUUGUAAUUUGAAGAAGCGUUUUCUUGGGCUCGCGGCCGGUAGAAGUUCUUUGGAACAGGACAUCAUAGAGGGUGACAAUCCCGUCCGUGACCGGUCGUGCGUUCAUCUACGAUACGCUUUCAAAGAGUCGAGUUGUUUGGGAUUGCAGCUCCAAACGGGUGGUAAACAUCACCUAAGGCUAAAUAUUGGCGAGAGACCGAUAGCGAACAAGUACCGUGAGGGAAAGAUGAAAAGAACUUUGAAAAGAGAGUUAAACAGUACGUGAAAUUGUUGAAAGGGAAACGAUUGAAGUCAGUCGUGCUGGCGCGAAAUCAACCCUCUCGUCUUGAGAUCACAUGGCGCGACGAGCCUCAAAACCGUCACGAAGCGUGAACUCUUGACGAAAAGGUGCACUUUCGUGUCCGCUGGUUAACAUCAAUUUCGAACGUCAUAAAAAGGCUGGAGGGAUGUGGCUCCUUCGGGAGUGUUAUAACCUUUAGCGGAAUGUGGCGUUCGGGAUUGAGGAUUGCAACGAAUACCUUCAGGGCUGUUCCACCUGGCUUCUCAUUGGUAUCCUGGUGACGACAGCUUGCUGACGUCGUUAGGAUCAGCUUCUGAACAGGCUAGAGUGUGAGCAAAUUCGUUAAGGAUGUUAACGUAAUGGCUUUAAACGACCCGUCUUGA